CUUCAGCCCAGCGCGCUCGAACACCCCUCUCCAGAUAAAGGUGCUAACUCCGCACGGCAGCUCUGGGCAACCCCAUUUUGGUCUGUUCACGCGCCCGGGACCUCGUCCCCAAGGCCAGCAGGCCUGACGCACCUCGGCUGGACACUAGAGGUACGCAGUGCGCGCCUUCAGCGCCCGGAGCAGCUGGCUGAGCACUAGCGGGGCAGCAGCGCACCCGGAGCGGAGCUGACAGGUCACCAGACGACGAGCUCAUACGAGGGAGUGGGCGACAAACAAAACAGCCACAUAAGGCAACAUCGUCGCCCUAAUGCACAGAGGACAGUCUCAGCAAAACACUGGUGCUUACAAUACAUCAACGGGUAAAACAAGGUUUCCUGCCCCGGUGGAAUUCAUUCUGGUUUGCAUGCCAUGUGCUGGGAGCCCAUUCAAGGCUGGGGCAGAUUCACAAGCCGGGCCAUGGAACCAUCUCUAAGCUGCAUUGUUAAGUAAAAAAAGCCGGGAGCGGACAGAGCGAGACGUGUGCUGCCCUGCGUGUGAAACGUCGCUGCGUUGUCUGCGGACACAUUUCCUGGAAGGAUUCGUGAGAAACUCAGUCAGACUCGGCCCCUGGGAAGGAGCACUGAGGGACCAGGGACCAGCUUUGGGAGGAAGAGUUACUUUUCACUGUUUGUGAACUUUGAAUGUUUACCCUGCGCCCGCCUUACCAAACAACGCAAAGUGAAACAAGUCACUGAAACAUCAGGCCUCUUACUUUGCCGCGUGCCUUCCAACUAGGUAAUCCACCAGGGCAGUUUUUCAGCCUGGGCACGAGUGACAUUCGGGGCUGGACAAUCAUUUGUGUUGGGGACCGUCCUGUGCCUUGUAGGACGGUUAGCGGCGUCCCUACCCUCUACCCACCUUGGUAGCACUUCCCCCCCGCUUGGCUGUGACCACCAAAAAUGUCUCCAGACAUAGCAAAAUUCCAUGGAGGUGAAGUCACCCCUGGCUGAGAAGGAUUGCUCUAGGAAACACGUGAAAUAGGGCAGCCGUUUCCAUUAAGCGAUAAGAAAGUUGAAACCCAGAGUUUUUAUUAAAUUUUUGAAAAUCGUGA